GCCUCUUUAGCUCAGUGGUAGAGCGCCGUACUCGUAAUACGGAGGUCAUCGGAUCAAUCCCGAUAGGAGGCA
rfam:Penicillium antarcticum strain IBT 31811 PENANT_contig016, whole genome shotgun sequence.